UACAGAGGUCCCGAGCGUUGUUCGGAUUCAUUGGGCGUAAAGGGUGCGUAGGUGGUCUUCUAAGUUUGAUGUGAAAUCCCGGGGCUUAACCCUGGAAUUGCAUUGAAUACUGGAGGACUUGAGUACCGGAGAGGAAACUGGAAUUUACGGUGUAGCAGUGAAAUGCGUAGAGAUCGUAAGGAAGACCAGUGGCGAAGGCGAGUUUCUGGACGGUAACUGACGCUGAGGCACGAAGGCCAGGGGAGCAAACGGG
rnacentral:rRNA from 1 species